rnacentral:rRNA from 1 species
GACGAACGCUGGCGGCGUGCCUAAUACAUGCAAGUUGAGCGCUGAAGGUUGGUACUUGUACCGACUGGAUGAGCAGCGAACGGGUGAGUAACGCGUGGGGAAUCUGCCUUUGAGCGGGGGACAACAUUUGGAAACGAAUGCUAAUACCGCAUAAAAACUUUAAACACAAGUUUUAAGUUUGAAAGAUGCAAUUGCAUCACUCAAAGAUGAUCCCGCGUUGUAUUAGCUAGUUGGUGAGGUAAAGGCUCACCAAGACGAUGAUACAUAGCCGACCUGAGAGGGUGAUCGGCCACAUUGGGACUGAGACACGGCCCAAACUCCUACGGGAGGCAGCAGUAGGGAAUCUUCGGCAAUGGACGAAAGUCUGACCGAGCAACGCCGCGUGAGUGAAGAAGGUUUUCGGAUCGUAAAACUCUGUUGGUAGAGAAGAACGUUGGUGAGAGUGGAAAGCUCAUCAAGUGACGGUAACUACCCAGAAAGGGACGGCUAACUACGUG